AGAGUUUGAUCCUGGCUCAGGAUGAACGCUAGCGGCAGGCCUAAUACAUGCAAGUCGAACGGUGAUAGCAAUAUCAUAGUGGCGCACGGGUGCGUAACACGUAUGCAACCUACCUAUUAUUGGGGGAUAGCCUUUGGAAACGGAGAUUAAUACCGCAUAAUGCGAUUGACUGGCAUCGGUUGAUUGUUAAAGCUUAGGCGAUAAUAGAUGGGCAUGCGUCCAAUUAGUUAGUUGGUUAGGUAACGGCUGACCAAGACGAUGAUUGGUAGGGGAUCUGAGAGGAUAAUCCCCCACACUGGCACUGAGAUACGGGCCAGACUCCUACGGGAGGCAGCAGUAGGGAAUAUUGGGCAAUGGGCGGAAGCCUGACCCAGCCAUGCCGCGUGCAGGAAGAAGGCGUUAUGCGUUGUAAACUGCUUUUUUAUAGGAAGAAGGAUCCCUUGCGAGGGAAGGUGACGGUACUAUAAGAAUAAGCACCGGCUAACUCCGUGCCAGCAGCCGCGGUAAUACGGAGGGUGCAAGCGUUGUCCGGAUUUAUUGGGUUUAAAGGGUGCGUAGGC
rnacentral:rRNA from 1 species